ACUUUCCGAAGAUUAUCAGCUUCAACAAAAUGAAAGCACAAAACUCUGCAUCUGGAAGCUUCAAAUCUACUUGAACAAAUCCAGAAAAAAGAGCAACAAAAAAAAAUCAAAACUUUCUCAGGAAUAUAUGUGCUUUGAAAUUCAAAAGGGAAGAAAGAACUGACCCCAACAAAUCCAUAAGCAUAAUUUUGUCUGAGAAUGAUUAAGAGGACAGAUGAAAAAGUAUGCUAAACGUAUUGAUCAACACAAGAACAGCUGGUGAAAGGACAUAAACCUCUUCAUCAAGAAGGAACAUGUCCACUCCCAUCAGCUCUCCUCCCUUUGGGGUUUCCCAGAAUCGUAGAAGACGCGUGACGACCGUAUGGAACAACGACCAGUGCUAACAUUAGAAAAAGGUUUUGUAAGCCACUAUUGAUGCAUGUUUCCUUGUAAGAAGGAGAUGAUACUCUGUUGAAACAACUUGAUCUGAAGAUUUCUGAGACGUUAUUUAUAGAAUUUAUUUUUUAGGGUUUUCAUCUGGACUUUUGAGAAGGAGUCAAUUGAAUAAAUUGUAGUGGGAAAGAUCGAAGGACCAAUCAAAUGGUGAGAAAAAAAGACAAACUCUCAUCGUCAAGGCAAAGCGUUACAGAUCUGAAACCGUAGCGUCGGAAGAUUUCAGAGAUCGUGAACAGUGCAGGGGAACGGCAGAAGGAGAGUUCUGAGUAGUUGGGCUUUGUGAAUAUUGGACAUUGCCAUCCUAAAAAUAAGGCCCAUUUUUGAGAAUAUUUUUUUCAGAUUUCGGGAAAGUGGUAGGUUGAGCGCUGACGUGGCGCAAUUUGCCCAUCUCUCUGUGCUGACGUGGCGCAAGGAGGAAGGACUCAAGCCAACUUUAUUGUAUAAGAUUACCUAAAUAUAUUGAAAAUUUAUGUUUGUGGACCAAGUAAAAAAUCUAAAACAUCUUACUUUCUUUCGGAAAUGGAGGGAGUACUUUUUUUAUGCUUGAGCAUUGUUCCAUAAUCAAAUUCUAAAACAUAAUUUUUAAUUCAAAAAAAAAAUUCUAAAACAUAUUACAACUAUUAGUUUAAAUUUUUUUUCAUCAGAAAGAUUAUUUGUGCCACAUACAAUUUUUUUGCAUGGGUCCGCCCCUGUAUGUUUGCCGAUGAUAUCAUGCAUUAUUGUGUAUUUAGAGCAUACAUGGUGAUGGUAUCUCCGUAAUGUAAAAGAGUUUCUCUACAAAGAUACUCUUCUGCUUAUCUAUACUUUUUUUUUUUCAUUUUAAAUUAUUUUUUUGGUUGAGAAGCUAUGGUAAGAGAUUACCACUGCACUGUUCUCUAUAAUUUAUAAAUCUUAAAACUGGUGGAUUCUGAAACAUCCUUGGAAGCCCAACGCAAAGCAAACAUUAAUACAGCGACAUGUUCUUCCUAACGAAAGAUAUCAUGCAUUAUUGGAGCACUUCUAAACUCUAUUUAAUAAUGGAAAAUAGAAUGAUGUUAGAGAUGCCCUAAAAAAGUAAAAAAAAAAAAAAAAGUAGAAAUAACAAAAUUUCUAAAAAAGUGUAUGAGUUCUUAUGGGUAGUAUCCUCUUGCAUGCAAUUUUCAGAUCGCUUUAAAAAGCUUACAAAUGAAGAUAGUAUGUUGUAUUUUCUUCUAUCUGUGCUCAAGUGGUGUUUAAACCUGGUCUUGGUGUUUACUAUUGGUUAGAGGAAAGUUGGCUGGUUCUCGGAUACUGAAGCGAAGAGGUUUAAACGGUAGUAAGAUGUCUUCGGUUAUGGCUAAAUCCCUCAUGGCUAUGUCGUUGGAGGAAUAAGGUGUUCUUUUUGUCAAGCCGGAUGUGCCUGAAUGUUGUUCUAGUGAAAAUAAUUAUCUAUCAUUUGGUAGGUGCUUAAUCAUGCUUGUCAAAAAUGCCUAGUUUAAUUCUUGAUAUACCAAGCAAGUGGCAAAAAAAUAUGGCUCUGAAUACUUACAAACUGCACCGCAGUUAUAGUAAAAAAAAUAUCAACAUACCUAUAUAUCUAUAUGUUUUUGUUACUAAUACAAUUGCACCGCAUUAGUUCUGCAUGUGUCAUUUGGACGCUAUAACUUGACAAAAAAUUUAUUAUGUGUAAGUACCUCGGUUUUUGUUUGAUAUUUGUAAUAGAAAAAAACAUUAUUCUUCACCAAAAUAUCAGUCUCUUUCUCAAAUAUUUAUUCUCUAUCUAUAGAGUUGUGGGUUUGUAUAUUUAUAAUGGAUACGAUGAUGACAAAUUCAAUUGAAGACAUUAAUCAGAUAGAAAAA